CACGCAUUCAAUUUCACCCGGGAGAAACAUUUACAGAUUUUCAUAGUUUUAAUGUUUGAAACAAAGAUGUCACCUGCCUUUGUGUGUAAUGAACAAGACAAAGAAAACUCUAGGUUAUUUUGCAUUUGAGUGCAGUAUUUCACAGCAUGUGUGAGGUUCGCGUUGAGUUGAUCAUGCGGUAUUGGCAAUAUCAAGUGUGGAAUAUACUCCUGAACAAUUGAUGUGGUCAAAUUGACAAAUAGUUUGCAGUAAAACUUUCCACAUAAAAGUUUGAGGUUAAAUCGGGACGUAUAAAUUGUAAAUACUUAAGUCUAGAACUAAUGGAUAUUGUUUGUGGUAAUUGAUAAUGGCUGUGUAUAUUGAUGGUGCCAUCUAACUGGACGAACACCAGCAUUCAGAAUAGAGGAAUUUCGGGUCAACACGUUAUCAACGUCAACUCUUCACUUCAAUGUAUGACAACCUAAGAGAGUGCUAAAUGAUCCUAUCGAAAUAUUGGGUGGACCUUCUCUUAUUCAUCUACAAAACAUAAGAAUCACCAAUUUCUCAUUGUUUAAGACCCAAGCAAACGCAUAGUACUACAAAUUAUUUGUACUUUGUACUUUAUCGAAUGAAACCCCUUUGUAUUUAUGGUUGAAAUAUUUCAUCUAAUUAUUCAUUGGUGUCAUCUCAAGUUCAAUAUAUCUUUACGGAUAUUGGAACCUUUUUUAACGAGUCUUUGUAUAGCAUAAUGGUGAUUGGCUAGAACAUUGCAUGGUCAUUGUCACCAAACUUGCAUCGAUAUUGCGUUUUUCGCUCAAAUGAAAGACGUUUCAAUUGUAUUUUCCUCUUGCCAGUCCUGAAUUGCAAGGGUAUUCGGCCAAGAAAUGUGCCGAUGUAAUACUUUGAAGUCGCGUGAUAUUAACUAUGUUUCACUUUGUAUGUGUAAAUUUGUAUCAAUUAUAUGUGAAAGAAAAUAAUCAACGACAGUGUUCCUUGAUCUUUUUU